UACAGAGGUCUCAAGCGUUGUUCGGAUUCAUUGGGCGUAAAGGGUGCGUAGGCGGUUUGUCGCGUCGGGAGUGAAAUCCACUGGCUUAACUGGUGGCUUGCUUUCGAUACGGGCAGACUGGAGGUAUGCAGGGGAGAACGGAAUUCCUGGUGUAGCGGUGAAAUGCGCAGAUAUCAGGAGGUACACCGGUGGCGAAGGCGGUUCUCUGGGCAUGUCCUGACGCUGAGGAGCGAAAGUGUGGGGAGCGAACAGG
rnacentral:rRNA from 1 species